rnacentral:rRNA from 1 species
GAUGAACGCUGGCGGCGUGCCUAAUACAUGCAAGUCGAGCGAACAGACGAGGAGCUUGCUCCUCUGACGUUAGCGGCGGACGGGUGAGUAACACGUGGAUAACCUACCUAUAAGACUGGGAUAACUUCGGGAAACCGGAGCUAAUACCGGAUAAUAUAUUGAACCGCAUGGUUCAAUAGUGAAAGACGGUUUUGCUGUCACUUAUAGAUGGAUCCGCGCCGCAUUAGCUAGUUGGUAAGGUAACGGCUUACCAAGGCAACGAUGCGUAGCCGACCUGAGAGGGUGAUCGGCCACACGGGAACUGAGACACGGUCCAGACUCCUACGGGAGGCAGCAGUAGGGAAUCUUCCGCAAUGGGCGAAAGCCUGACGGAGCAACGCCGCGUGAGUGAUGAAGGUCUUCGGAUCUUAAAACUCUGUUAUUAGGGAAGAACAAAUGUGUAAGUAACUAUGCACGUCUUGACGGUACCUAAUCAGAAAGCCACGGCUAACUACGUG